CAGUCUUCUACCGCAGCAGGUGAGGUCACUGCCAGAGCAGGCUGGCAAACUUCUGAAUCAAUGGCUUUUCCUGCACCAUGCCUGACUCCUGACCCAGAGGAAGCUAGUCAUGUCAAGAGUAGAAAAUUCUGAUAACACGGAUGAGCUCAAAAAAGAAAAUUAAGAGCAUUUGUGAUUCUUUGAGCACUGCAACAAAGAGUUUUAUUUGAAGAGCGGCUGUAAUGAAUUCUGUAUUUGUUCAAAACUUUGAAGAUCUGUGAGGACAAAACAGUCACUCGGAUGCCUAUCGUGUCAGCAUGCUAUUUAUCAUCGUUUACACUCUUCCUUGUUGAAUUAUGCAGUCCAGUUAGAAAGAAUGAGCAUCAUUUAUUGAAGACUCA